rnacentral:pre_miRNA from 1 species
NCACACCACAGUUUUGCACAGUUUAUGUCCAAUGUUUAACUUUCCAUCUUAUUUAGAAAAAAAAUAUAAUGAGUAUUUUUUUUAUUGUUAUUAGAUGAUAUAACAUGAAUAAUACUUUAUAUGUGACCGAUUUUUUUUUAAAUUUUUUACAAUUUUUGAAAUAAGACGGACAAUCAAACAUUAAACACGGAAACUCACAAUUNNNNNNNNN